rnacentral:rRNA from 1 species
UACGGAGGGUGCGAGCGUUGUCCGGAAUCACUGGGCGUAAAGGGCGCGUAGGUGGCGCGGGCAGUCAACGGUGAAAGUUCGGGGCUCAACCCUGAAUCGGCCGUCGAUACUCCCGUGCUUGAGCACUGUAGAGGCAGAUGGAAUUCCGGGUGUAGCGGUGGAAUGCGUAGAGAUCCGGAAGAACACCGGUGGCGAAGGCGGUCUGCUGGGCAGUUGCUGACACUGAGGCGCGACAGCGUGGGGGAGCAAACGGG